GUCUACGGCCAUACCGCCCUGAACGCGCCCGAUCUCAUCUGAUCUCGAAGCUAAGCAGGGUUGGGCCUGGUUAGUACUUGGAUGGGAGAAAAGUAAAUGCUGAACAUC
ensembl:rRNA 5S_rRNA 5S ribosomal RNA